CGGAGGGUGCAAGCGUUGUCCGGAUUUAUUGGGUUUAAAGGGUGCGUAGGCGGGUCUUUAAGUCAGUGGUGAAAGCCGACAGCUCAACUGUCGAAAUGCCAUUGAUACUGGGGAUCUUGAGUACAGUAGAGGUAGGCGGAAUUAAUGGUGUAGCGGUGAAAUGCAUAGAUACCAUUAAGAACACCGAUUGCGAAGGCAGCUUACUAUAGUGUAACUGACGCUGAGGCACGAAAGUGUGGGGAUCAAACAGGAUUAGAUACCCUGGUAGUCCACACUGUAAACGAUGAUCACUCGCUGUUGGCGAUAGACAGCCAGCGGCUUAGCGAAAGCGAUAAGUGAUCCACCUGGGGAGUACGCUCGCAAGAGUG
rnacentral:rRNA from 1 species